UACGGGGGGGGCAAGCGUUGUUCGGAAUUACUGGGCGUAAAGGGCUCGUAGGCGGCCAACUAAGUCAGACGUGAAAUCCCUCGGCUUAACCGGGGAACUGCGUCUGAUACUGGAUGGCUUGAGUUCGGGAGAGGGAUGUGGAAUUCCAGGUGUAGCGGUGAAAUGCGUAGAUAUCUGGAGGAACACCGGUGGCGAAGGCGGCAUCCUGGACCGACACUGACGCUGAUGAGCGAAAGCCAGAGGAGCAAACGGG
rnacentral:rRNA from 1 species